UACGUAGGGUGCGAGCGUUAAUCGGAAUUACUGGGCGUAAAGCGUGCGCAGGCGGUGAUGUAAGACAGGUGUGAAAUCCCCGGGCUUAACCUGGGAACUGCAUUUGUGACUGCAUCGCUGGAGUGCGGCAGAGGGGGAUGGAAUUCCGCGUGUAGCAGUGAAAUGCGUAGAUAUGCGGAGGAACACCGAUGGCGAAGGCAGCCCCCUGGGCCAAUACUGACGCUCAUGCACGAAAGCGUGGGGAGCAAACAGG
rnacentral:rRNA from 1 species